UAACGGGGCUAAACCAUGCACCGAAGCUGCGGCAGCGACACUAUGUGUUGUUGGGUAGGGGAGCGUUCUGUAAGCCUGUGAAGGUGUACUGUGAGGUAUGCUGGAGGUAUCAGAAGUGCGAAUGCUGACAUAAGUAACGAUAAAGCGGGUGAAAAGCCCGCUCGCCGGAAGACCAAGGGUUCCUGUCCAACGUUAAUCGGGGCAGGGUGAGUCGACCCCUAAGGCGAGGCCGAAAGGCGUAGUCGAUGGGAAACAGGUUAAUAUUCCUGUACUUGGUGUUACUGCGAAGGGGGGACGGAGAAGGCUAUGUUGGCCGGGCGACGGUUGUCCCGGUUUAAGCGUGUAGGCUGGUUUUCCAGGCAAAUCCGGAAAAUCAAGGCUGAGGCGUGAUGACGAGGCACUACGGUGCUGAAGCAACAAAUGCCCUGCUUCCAGGAAAAGCCUCUAAGCAUCAGGUAACAUCAAAUCGUACCCCAAACCGACACAGGUGGUCAGGUAGAGAAUACCAAGGCGCUUGAGAGAACUCGGGUGAAGGAACUAGGCAAAAUGGUGCCGUAACUUCGGGAGAAGGCACGCUGAUAUGUAGGUGAAGUCCCUCGCGGAUGGAGCUGAAAUCAGUCGAAGAUACCAGCUGGCUGCAACUGUUUAUUAAAAACACAGCACUGUGCAAACACGAAAGUGGACGUAUACGGUGUGACGCCUGCCCGGUGCCGGAAGGUUAAUUGAUGGGGUUAGCGCAAGCGAAGCUCUUGAUCGAAGCCCCGGUAAACGGCGGCCGUAACUAUAACGGUCCUAAGGUAGCGAAAUUCCUUGUCGGGUAAGUUCCGACCUGCACGAAUGGCGUAAUGAUGGCCAGGCUGUCUCCACCCGAGACUCAGUGAAAUUGAACUCGCUGUGAAGAUGCAGUGUACCCGCGGCAAGACGGAAAGACCCCGUGAACCUUUACUAUAGCUUGACACUGAACAUUGAGCCUUGAUGUGUAGGAUAGGUGGGAGGCUUUGAAGUGUGG
rnacentral:rRNA from 1 species